GUUCGGUCCACGUCCGCUCGCCCCAGCUCCCGAGCGAAAACCGUGUGCGAGCUGUGAAGGGCUGGACGCUAGGGGUGCGUGGGGCUGGCUAUGGCCCACGACUAUAGUAGGGGGGAAGGGAUGGCCGGGCUGCCACGCGCACGGCACCCGGUUCGGUCCACGUUCGGUCGCCGGGCCGACCGACCGGCAACCGUGCGCGAGUUGGGAAGGGCUGGCUCGUGCAGCCACCCACCGGCCGACCGACCGAAAACCCGAUUCGGUCGAC
rnacentral:rRNA from 1 species